rnacentral:rRNA from 1 species
UACGGGGGGGGUAAGCGUUGUUCGGAAUUACUGGGCGUAAAGGGCUCGUAGGCGGCCUGUUAAGUCGGACGUGAAAUCCCUCGGCUCAACCGGGAAACUGCGUCCGAUACUGGCGGGCUUGAAUUCGGGAGAGGGAUGUGGAAUUCCAGGUGUAGCGGUGAAAUGCGUAGAUAUCUGGAGGAACACCGGUGGCGAAGGCGGCAUCCUGGACCGACAUUGACGCUGAGGCGCGAAAGCCAGGGGAGCAAACGGG